rnacentral:ncRNA from 1 species
AGCAGUAUUUGCGGGUGCCCGCUCGAUCUCCUUUCUGGAGCAUCGCAAAGGGCUGAGAUUAUACCGUUUGAACUCGAUCAAGUUAGAACUUGCGUGAGAAAUGUACUGCUAGAACCG